UACGAGGGGGGCAAGCGUUGUUCGGAAUUAUUGGGCGUAAAGGGCGCGUAGGCGGUGCGGUAAGUCUGAUGUGAAAUCUCCGGGCUCAACUCGGAGUCUGCAUCAGAAACUGCCGUGCUUGAGUGUGGGAGAGGUGAGUGGAAUUCCCGGUGUAGCGGUGAAAUGCGUAGAUAUCGUGAGGAACACCAGAGGCGAAGGCGGUUACCUGGACAGUUACUGACGCUCAGGCACGAAAGCGUGGGGAGCAAAAGGG
rnacentral:rRNA from 1 species